ensembl:lncRNA
GUAACAGACAACAUGACUCUCCAGACCCAAGAAGGAAAGCAGUGCAGUGAAGUGCUGGUGCAGGAAAUAAACAGAAGGCAAGGAGAGAAGAGAUAACUGGAGAGAGAGAGGGAGAUAACUGGAGAGAGAGAGUGAGAUGACUGGAGAGAGAGAGGGAGAUAACUGGAGAGAGAGAGUGAGAUGACUGGAGAGAGGGAGAUGACUGGAGAGAGAGAGGGAGAUGACUGGAGAGAGAGAGGGAGAUAACUGGAGAGAGAGAGGGAGAUAACUGGAGAGAGAGAGUGAGAUAACUGGAGAGAGAGAGGGAGAUAACUGGAGAGAGAGAGGGAGAUAACUGGAGAGAGAGAAGAGGAGAGAUGACUGGAGAGAGAGAGGGAGAUAACUGGAGAGAGAGAGGGAGAUGACUGGAGAGAGAGAGGGAGAUGACUGGAGAGAGAGAGGGAGAUGACUGGAGAGAGAGAGGGAGAUAACUGGAGAGAGAGAGGGAGAUAACUGGAGAGAGAGAGGGAGAUGACUGGAGAGAGAGAGGAGAGAUAACUGGAGAGAGAGAGGGAGAUAACUGGAGAGAGAG